rnacentral:misc_RNA from 1 species
AGGUGCUAGUUAACCUAAAAUAAGGAACGAAGGAAUCAAGGAUUAUUUGUAAAGAGUAAGGAGUUUAUGCUCAAUCGACACGUAGAACAUAGGAUUUGUGAAUAUGUGACGGGGAAUUUUUCAUGAAAUUCCGUGAACGUGAUGAGGACACGGGAGAAAGCGAGAUGGAGGAACCGCGUGCUUAGUCGCGCCGACGCAUCGUUUACAGCUCACUCACCUACGAAUCGUCCGCCUAUCAGCGCGGCCAAAGUUGGACUAAAAUGCAGCCUCAGGUGCUCGACAGGUUCUCCGUGCUUCUUGAAACGUCACCUCCGUUUCCUUGUCGAGCUGGUCUCGUGAGCGCAGCUCCGAGCGAAAACCCGCCAAGAGGUUCGGGUAUUUCGUCGCAUUCGUGCACGAACAGUAACUGACGGCCUUGUCAUCGAGGCGAUCAGUACGGCACCUGAGCGCGCGUACGCUCCAACGAGCCGACUCGCGCGUUGACCAAUGAGAGCGCGAUGUGAAGAAUGCCACGCAUGUGCGCGAUACUUACUGAAUGGCGGCAGCUUUCGAAUUUCUCGUUUAUUGAACGUUCAUGUUUAACCAUUCUAACUUAUUGUAAAAAGAAAUUAUAUCAAUAUUAUUAUGGAUAAAAGUUACAUAAAUGCUUGUUACUUAAAUUCUGUAUUACUAUUUUUAUUGUUAGAUGAAAAUUGUUUAGUUCAAUAACAGGAUAGUAUGUAAUGUUAAUUUGGAAGAUGUUGAUAAUCAUUGAUAAGGAUAAUGAGAUAUAGCUCUAUAUAUAGAUAGCUCUAUAUAUAGAUUAGUUGGUUUUCGUGUUUCUCUUUCAUGAAAAUUGACUAUUUAAUAUUUAAAGGAUGUUAUGGGUGGAAAUUUACCGCAAUAUAUCUUUUUUAAAUUGAAAUAUUGAUAAAAUUAAACAAAUGAAAUUAUGCGUUUUAUUAAUAUUUAAUCAUUAUUAAAAAAUUCGUUUGGGAUGAAAUUUAAUCCAUGAUAGCCUUCAAUCAUUAAUUUGUGCAAUAACAAUUUUCGACAGUUUAUCGAUAAUCUUCGUUUUUUGCGUUUAAUUUAAUUAUAAUGUGUACGUAUCUCUGUAAAUAAACUCUCUUAGUAUAAAGUAUAGGUUAUUAUAAAUG